CAUGUCACGUUGAAAUACCGGUUCUGUACGAUCACCGAAGUUAAGCAACGUCGAGCCUGGUUACUACUUGGAUGGGUGACCGCUUGGUAAUAACAGCUGCUGAAA